rnacentral:rRNA from 1 species
CGACUUGGAGGUUGUUCCCUUGAGGAGUGGCUUCCGGAGCUAACGCGUUAAGUCGACCGCCUGGGGAGUACGGCCGCAAGGUUAAAACUCAAAUGAAUUGACGGGGGCCCGCACAAGCGGUGGAGCAUGUGGUUUAAUUCGAUGCAACGCGAAGAACCUUACCUACUCUUGACAUCCAGAGAACUUUCCAGAGAUGGAUUGGUGCCUCCGGGAACUCUGAGACAGGUGCUGCAUGGCUGUCGUCAGCUCGUGUUGUGAAAUGUUGGGUUAAGUUCCGCAACGAGCGCAACCCUUUUCCUUUGUUGCCAGCGAUUCGGUCGGGAACUCAAAGGAGACUGCCGGUGAUAAACCGGAGGAAGGUGGGGAUGACGUCAAGUCAUCAUGGCCCUUACGAGUAGGGCUACACACGUGCUACAAUGGCGCAUACAAAGAGAAGCGACCUCGCGAGGGCAAGCGGACCUCACAAAGUGCGUCGUAGUCCGGAUCGGAGUCUGCAACUCGACUCCGUGAAGUCGGAAUCGCUAGUAAUCGUGGAUCAGAAUGCCACGGUGAAUACGUUCCCGGGCCUUGUACACACCGCCCGUCACACCAUGGGAGUGGGUUGCAAAAGAAGUAGGUAGCUUAACCUUCGGAGGGCGCUUGCCACUUUGUGAUUCAUGACUGGGGUGAAGUCGUAACAAGGUACC